AAUCAUCGCAAGGCCCGCGCGAAAGCGUGAACGGUGCAAGUCCGUUGCCCUCUUCGGAGGGUGGCGCUCAUGGUGUUCAU
rnacentral:ribozyme from 1 species